AUGAAGGAUCUAGGAGUAGCUGAUGUUAUCUUAAACAUCAAGCUGUUGAGAGAUGAGAAUGGUGGGAUCACACUGCUUCAGUCUCACUAUGUGGAAAAGGUCUUGAGUCGUUUUGGGUAUAGCGACUGCACACCUUCUCCAACUCCAUAUGAUGCUAGUGUGUUGCUUCGAAAGAAUCGACGGAUUGCUAGAGAUCAACUGAGGUAUUCUCAGAUUAUUGGCUCGCUUAUGUAUUUGGCGAGUGCCACGAGGCCUGACAUCUCUUUUGCUGUGAGCAAGCUGAGUCGGUUUGUGUCAAAACCGGGAGAUGAUCAUUGGCAUGCUCUUGAGAGAGUUAUUCGCUAUUUGAAAGGCUACGCGAGCUAUGGGAUUCACUACACCGGGUAUCCAAGGGUACUGCAGGGUUAUAGUGACUUAAACUGGAUAUCUGAUUCUGAUGAGAUAAAGCCCACGAGUGGUUAUGUUUUUACACUUGGUGGUGGCGCUGUUUCCUGGAAGUCUUGCAAGUAG
rnacentral:rRNA from 1 species